UACGUAGGGGGCAAGCGUUGUCCGGAAUUAUUGGGCGUAAAGCGCGCGCAGGCGGUAAAAUAAGUCUGAUGUGAAAGACUGCGGCUCAACCGUGGAAGUGCAUUGGAAACUGUAUUACUUGAGUGCAGAAGAGGAGAGUGGAAUUCCACGUGUAGCGGUGAAAUGCGUAGAGAUGUGGAGGAACACCAGUGGCGAAGGCGACUCUCUGGGCUGUAACUGACGCUGAGGCGCGAAAGCGUGGGGAGCAAACAGG
rnacentral:misc_RNA from 1 species